AUGAGCUUUACUACAGAUAUAUGGAGCUCUGCUGUGAGUCCAAUGUCGCUUUUAAGUUUAACAGUCCACUGGUUGGACACGAGCUGUACACUACACGGUGCAAUGCUUCAAGCUAAAAACUUUCAUUGUUCACAUACCAGCGAUACCAUUUCAGCUGCAAUUAAGGAUAUACUUGACCAGUGGCACAUACCUUUGAAUAAAGUGCAUGUCAUACUCCAGGACAAUGCAAGCAACAUGAAAAAGGCAAUGGACAACAUGGGGGUGCGGAGCUUAGGCUGCUUUGCUCACAGCUUGCAGCUUGUAGUCAAUGAGGGACUACUGUCACAACGGAGUGUGAGCGAUGCCAUUGCAAUCGGUAGACAAAUUGUGGGGCAUUUUAAACAUUCUCCACUUGUGCAACCUAAACGCCUGCAACAAGAAUAUAUAUAAAUAUAUAUAUUACUUUAAUCAGCCUCAGAUUUUUUAGUGUCAUCAAGUGUUUCAUUUAGCCUAACCUAUGUUUUAUUUCUGUUUCAGAUACUCUACAAGUGCUCAAGGUGCAAAAGAUGCACUGACAGGGGAACUAGAGGAAGACCUGAGGUGGAGCGNUAUAAUCAUCAAAAUUAAAAGAAAUAAACAUUUGAAAUAUAUCAGUCUGUGUGUAAUGAAUGAAUAUAAUAUACAAGUUUCACUUUUUGAAUGGAAUUAGUGAAAAAUCUACUUUUUGAUGAUAUUCUAUUUAUAUGACCAGCACCUGUACAGUUUAUUAUUAAUUCAACAAUAGUAUCAGAUCGGUAUCGGGUAUCGACAGAUACACAAAGCCCAGGCAUCGGUAUCGGUAGUUGGAUCGGUGCCCCCCUUAACCCAGGUUGAUCUAAACCUGCAAGUUUUCUUCUACUGAACACAAAAGAAGAUACUUUGAAGAAAGUGGGCAACUAAACAGCUGCUGGUCCUCAGUAACUUCUAUAGUAGAGAAAAAAUACUAUAAGAGUCAUUGAGGACCAGAAACUGUUUUGUUACCCACAUUCUUUAAGUAUACAAGUAUCAUUCAAGUCUCAUUCUCCAAGUAUUUUCUUUUAUAUUCAACAGAAGAAAGAAAUUAUUACAGGUAUGGAAAAACCUGUGGGAGUGUAAACGACGACAACAUUUUCAUUUUUGGGUGAACUAUCCCUUUAAGUCAGACAGUCCACCGUGAGCAAAUACUUCUCUGCAAACUGCGCGUUCAUCAGUUACUGGACAGACCCAUUGAUAACUUUCCCAUUCAGUACUACAUCUGGAGUAUUGUGUUCAAUGGGCGGAUGUGAGUUCCUCAAUAUUUUAAACCACGCAGGUUUAGAGCAUGCUGCGCUCGCGUGAAAGGCUUUAACGGUGCACGUUCUGGAGACUCCAUCAUCGCCAUUGAAACAAAGACGCCAAGAUGAGCUUCUCUAACUUCUUAUGAAAUUGAUUUCAUUAUAAUUACUAUUAGCAUUAUAACCAGUGCAAAAUACUUAUUUGUUGAUUCAGCUUGUUGGCUUUUGUAAAAUACGGGACACAUCAUUUUACAUUUAAUUACAGGUUUCCUCAUUUUAAGGGAUGGGUGGCAACCCUAUGAGAAACCCGAAACCCGGUGAAACUAUAGAAGCAAACAUGAAUGACUUAAGGAAUAAGGCAAAGAUGUGCAGAUUUGAUCUAACAGAUUAACUCAUAAAAGACUUGUAUGUGGUGUGACCAAUGAUGGCAUGAGAAAAAUUCUACUGAGAGACAGUGAGUUAACACUAGCCAAAGUAAUAGAACUGUGUCAAAUCCAUGAACUGACUGGUCUGCACACAAAGACUCUUGCAGUGACUAAAAGCAACGCUAAUGUAGUCAGUGUGUAUCACAAGACAAAGUCUAAAAUGUCACAAAGGUCCACCUCUGAUCGUACAGCCUCUCAGAUCAUAGUAAACUGUAGUAGUUGUGGAGGCAAGCAUUUAGCAAAAAAAAUGCCUAGCUUAUGGUCAGCAGUGCCAUAAAUGUAAAAAGUGGAAUCAUUUCAAAAAGUGCUGUAAAACUACACAAUAGUACAUGCUAAAUAGAUGGAGAAAAGCAGUAGACCAGCUCAAACCAAAAGAAACCUCCACAGACAGCACGGAUUAAUCCUACUAUGUGGAUGGUUAUACAAGAUUUUAUCCCCACUUCUGUAAGCACCCUCUAUGGUGUGACGAAACUGUCGAGGUUGGCAGUAAACCAUGGGCUGUCAUUAUUGAAUGAUAAGAAUAUUCUGGUGGGGAAGCACAUAUCCUCACAAAAACAGAUACACUAUAUUGCCAAAAGCUUUUGGACAUCUGCCUUUACAUACACGUGAACUUUAAUGACAUCCCAUCUUAAUCUGUAGGGUUUAAUAUGGAGCUGGCCCACCCUUUGCAGCUAUAACCACUUCAACUCUUCUGGGAAGGCUUUCCAAAAGGUUUAGGAGUGUGUUUAUGGGAAUUUUUGACCAUUCCUAUAGAAGCACAUUUGUGAGGGCAGGCACUGAGGUUGGAGNGGAGUUGUGUGACGGUGUGCAGUCGUGGGUCAGCAGAGUGAAGAGGAGGGGGCUCAGCACACAUCCUUGGGGGGCCCCAGUGUUCAGUGUGAUGGUGCUGGAUGUGUUGCUGCCGACACGUACUGCCUGAGGUCUUCCAGUCAGAAAGUCCAACAGCCAGUUGCAUAGCGAAGUGUUGAGCCCCAGCUCGACUAGUUUGUGAAUGAGCUGUUGAGGGAUGAAUGUGUUGAAUGCUGAAUUGAAGUCUAUGAACAGCAUUCUGACGUAUGAGUCUUUUUUUCUCUAGAUGUGUGAGUGCUGAGUGGAGGGUAGUUGAGAUGGCAUCAUCGGUCGACCGGUUGGACCGAUAUGCAAACUGGAAUGGGUCCAGGGAGUGGGGGAGGCAGACUUGAGGUGGUGUAUGACUA
rnacentral:lncRNA from 12 species